UGGAAUUCAUUAAAUGUUGUAGGGGCUCAAUAAAGACUAGCACCCUUAAAGACGUUACAAACAGAUGAAAAGACAUAUCAAACAAACCAAACAUCACACGAAAGCCAAUCAAACCUAAAAAGCAAACAGCCACACACAACUAAAAGGCAACCAGAAAUUAAAACACCUAAAACAAAACCCAAAGUAAGAGGAAACCAAAAACAAAACAAAAAAAAAAGCCUUCCCCCAAACAACCAUAGAGAAACCAGAGAAAUACUAGCCAAAACCUCUUCACACAAAGCUCAAAAUCCAUCAACCAUAGUAGAAGAGGCGAAAGCCUGAAAGAAACAAGCCCAUGGAGAUUUAGAUUGAAAACUUCUCUAUCCUCAAGCUUUUGAAAAAUGUCUUAAUAUUGUUGAAUCUAAUUGUUCCAGUCCACAAGUGUCAUCUUCUCAACUGGAUCUGGGCUUCUUCAACCCAAAAGUAUGGUGCUCGAUACCAGCGUCCCUUAUUAGCCAACACAUGGGCAGCCUUAUUUGCUUAUCUUGGAAUGAAAUGGUAAGAUAUCUCCUCGAACCUUCUUCCUAAGUCACAGAUGCUUAGAAUCACCGGUCGGAGGACCGAGUUGUCAAUGAGUCUCCUUCAACAGAAAUCUUGAGAAAGCCCAUUUUGGCUGCAAAGAGUAAGGCUCUCUCACAAGCCCUAGCUUCUGCCACAAAAGCAUCAUGGAUUCCAUCAUAAGGGUGUUUCCACAAUUGUUAAAGUACCUGACAAUUUCAACUCAGAUGAUUGGCAUCCUCUAGUGGGUCUUUGCACAGUGGAUACAAAACAUUUCUGAUCAAUCUACACUUGGCUAGGUUGCUGAAAUAAGGCAGGAAAUCAUUAAACAGUCUCAACAGAUGUAUCUUUAUUGUUUUUGGUAGUUGUAAUUUCUAUAGGGAGUUGUAAAAUUCUUUGUAAAUGUGGGGUGUAGCAGUAGAUAUCUUAUUAGCAGAAUGUAGAUGUUCUGAAACUAGGACUUUGUACCGACUUUUUACUGUGUAUUCCCCAAUUACCUCAUGCCUCCAGACCAGUAUGUCAUUUAAUCUUAUACGAGAGAGAGGGAUCUUGAAGAUA